AACGGAGGGGCUAGUGUUAUUCGUAUUGAACUGGGCGUAAAGGGUACGCAGGCGGCAAAGUAAGUUUUAAGGUGAAAUACUGGAGCUCAACUUCUUACACGCCUUUAAUACUUGCUUCGCUAGAGUAUAGUAAGAGGAAGGGAGUAUUAACGGUGUAGGGUGCAAUCCAUUGAUACCGUCGGGACUUUCAUCAGGCGAAGGCAGCCCUUCCAUGCUAUUUACUGACGCUGAGGUACGAAAGCGUGGGGAGCAAACUG
rnacentral:rRNA from 1 species